rnacentral:rRNA from 1 species
UAAUGCAAGUCGAGCGAAUGGAUUAAGAGCUUGCUCUUAUGAAGUUAGCGGCGGACGGGUGAGUAACACGUGGGUAACCUGCCCAUAAGACUGGGAUAACUCCGGGAAACCGGGGCUAAUACCGGAUAACAUUUUGAACCGCAUGGUUCGAAAUUGAAAGGCGGCUUCGGCUGUCACUUAUGGAUGGACCCGCGUCGCAUUAGCUAGUUGGUGAGGUAACGGCUCACCAAGGCAACGAUGCGUAGCCGACCUGAGAGGGUGAUCGGCCACACUGGGACUGAGACACGGCCCAGACUCCUACGGGAGGCAGCAGUAGGGAAUCUUCCGCAAUGGACGAAAGUCUGACGGAGCAACGCCGCGUGAGUGAUGAAGGCUUUCGGGUCGUAAAACUCUGUUGUUAGGGAAGAACAAGUGCUAGUUGAAUAAGCUGGCACCUUGACGGUACCUAACCAGAAAGCCACGGCUAACUACGUGCCAGCAGCCGCGGUAAUACGUAGGUGGCAAGCGUUAUCCGGAAUUAUUGGGCGUAAAGCGCGCGCAGGUGGUUUCUUAAGUCUGAUGUGAAAGCCCACGGC